UACGUAGGGGGCUAGCGUUAUCCGGAAUUACUGGGCGUAAAGGGUGCGUAGGUGGUUUCUUAAGUCAGAGGUGAAAGGCUACGGCUCAACCGUAGUAAGCCUUUGAAACUGGGGAACCUGAGUGCAGGAGAGGAGAGUGGAAUUCCUAGUGUAGCGGUGAAAUGCGUAGAUAUUAGGAGGAACACCAGUUGCGAAGGCGGCUCUCUGGACUGUAACUGACACUGAGGCACGAAAGCGUGGGGAGCAAACAGG
rnacentral:rRNA from 1 species